UACGAAGGGGGCUAGCGUUGUUCGGAAUUACUGGGCGUAAAGCGCACGUAGGCGGAUCGAUCAGUCAGGGGUGAAAUCCCAGGGCUCAACCCUGGAACUGCCUUUGAUACUGUCGAUCUGGAGUAUGGAAGAGGUGAGUGGAAUUCCUGGUGUAGCGGUGAAAUGCGCAGAUAUUAGGAAGAACACCAGUGGCGAAGGCGGCUCACUGGCCCGGUACUGACGCUGAGGCGCGAAAGCGUGGGGAGCAAACAGG
rnacentral:rRNA from 1 species